CCUACGGAGGGCAGCAGUAGGGAAUCUUCGGCAAUGGACGGAAGUCUGACCGAGCAACGCCGCGUGAGUGAAGAAGGUUUUCGGAUCGUAAAGCUCUGUUGUAAGAGAAGAACGAGUGUGAGAGUGGAAAGUUCACACUGUGACGGUAUCUUACCAGAAAGGGACGGCUAACUACGUGCCAGCAGCCGCGGUAAUACGUAGGUCCCGAGCGUUGUCCGGAUUUAUUGGGCGUAAAGCGAGCGCAGGCGGUUAGAUAAGUCUGAAGUUAAAGGCUGUGGCUUAACCAUAGUACGCUUUGGAAACUGUUUAACUUGAGUGCAAGAGGGGAGAGUGGAAUUCCAUGUGUAGCGGUGAAAUGCGUAGAUAUAUGGAGGAACACCGGUGGCGAAAGCGGCUCUCUGGCUUGUAACUGACGCUGAGGCUCGAAAGCGUGGGGAGCAAACAGGAUUAGAUACCCUGGUAGUC
rnacentral:rRNA from 1 species